rnacentral:rRNA from 1 species
AAUUCGUUUGUGUAGCGGUGAAAUGCGUAGAUAUAACCGAAGAAACACCAAUUGCGUAGGCAGCUUACCAUACUGCAACUGACGCUGAGGCACGAAAGUGUGGGUAUCAAACAGGAUUAGAUACCCUGGUAGUCCACACAGUAAACGAUGAAUACUAGCUGUUUGCGAUACACUGCAAGUGGCCGAGCGAAAGCAUUAAGUAUUCCACCUGGGGAGUACGCCGGCAACGGUGUAACUCAAAGGAAUUGACGGGGGCCCGCACAAGCGGAGGAACAUGUGGUUUAAUUCGAUGAUACGCGAGGAACCUUACCCGGGCUUGAAUUGCAUUUGAAUACAGUGGAAACAUUGUAGCCAGCAAUGGCAAAUGUGAAGGUGCUGCAUGGUUGUCGUCAGCUCGUGCCGUGAGGUGUCGGCUUAAGUGCCAUAACGAGCGCAACCCUCAUCACUAGUUACCAUCAGGUCAAGCUGGGGACUCUAGUGAGACUGCCGGCGUAAGCUGUGAGGAAGGUGGGGAUGACGUCAAAUCAGCACGGCCCUUACGUCCGGGGCGACACGCGUGUUACAAUGGGGGGUACAGCGGGUUGCUACCUGGUGACAGGAUGCUAAUCUUAAAAACCCUUCUCAGUUCGGAUCGGAGUCUGCAACUCGCCUGCAUGAAGUCGGAAUUGCUAGUAAUGGCAGGUCAGCAUACUGCCGUGAAUACGUUCCCGGGUCUUGUACACACCGCCCGUCACACCAUGAGAGUCUGUAACACCCGAAGUCAGUAGUCUAACCUGAUUAGAUUAGGGGGACGCUGCCGAAGGUGGGAUAGAUAAUUGGGGUGAAGUCGUAACAAGGUAGCCGUA